CAGCAGCCGCGGUAAGACGGAGGAUGCAAGCGUUAUCCGGAAUUAUUGGGCGUAAAGCGUCCGUAGGCGGUUUAGAAAGUCAGUUGUUAAAGCUCACAGCUCAACUGUGGAUGGGCAAUGGAAACUACUAGACUAGAGGGUGGUAGGGGUAGAGGGAAUUCCUAGUGUAGCGGUGAAAUGCGUAGAUAUUAGGAAGAACACCAGUGGCGAAGGCGCUCUACUGGGCCAUUACUGACGCUGAUGGACGAAAGCUAGGGGAGCGAAAGGGAUUAGAUACCCCUGUAGUCCUAGCUGUAAACGAUGGACACUAGGUGUUGCGCGUAUCGACCCGUGCAGUAUCGAAGCAAACGCGUUAAGUGUCCCGCCUGGGGAGUACGCACGCAAGUGUGAAACUCAAAGGAAUUGACGGGGGCCCGCACAAGCGGUGGAGUAUGUGGUUUAAUUCGAUGCAACGCGAAGAACCUUACCAGGGAUUGACAUCCCGCGAAGACUCUUGAAAGAGAGUUGUGCCUUCGGGAACGUAGAGACAGGUGGUGCAUGGCUGUCGUCAGCUCGUGUCGUGAGAUGUUGGGUUAAGUCCCGCAACGAGCGCAACCCUCGUCCUUAGUUGCCAUCAUUAAGUUGGGCACUUUAAGGAGACUGCCGGUGACAAACCGGAGGAAGGUGGGGAUGACGUCAAGUCAUCAUGCCCCUUACAUCCUGGGCUACACACGUACUACAAUGCAACGGACAAAGGGCAGCCAGCUAGCGAUAGUGAGCUAAUCCCAUAAACCGUUGCUCAGUUCAAAUUGCAGGCUGCAACUCGCCUGCAUGAAGGCGGAAUCGCUAGUAAUCGCAGGUCAGCAUACUGCGGUGAAUACGUUCCCGGGCCUUGUACACACCGCCCGUCACACCAUGGAAGUUGGCCACGCCCGAAGUCGUUACCCCAACCCUUGGGAGGAGGACGCCGAAGGC
rnacentral:rRNA from 1 species